AUUCUAGGAGCUGCAGUGGCUGAUGGGAAAGUGACACCUAAAGUUCAAUCAUUAAUUAAGAUUCUUCUCAAGUAUCAGCAUACUGAAGAUUUUCGUGCUAUAAUAUUUGUUGAACGCGUUGUGACUGCAUUGGUUCUUCCAAAGGUUUUUGAGGAGCUCCCUUCCCUAAGUUUUAUCAAUUCAUCAAGUUUAAUCGGGCAUAACAAUAGUCAAGAAAUGCGAACAGGUCAA
rnacentral:misc_RNA from 1 species